UUAUCUCAUUCCACAUUUUAGAACCCUACUUUCACAAACUUCAAUGAUUAGCAAUGAUAACUUUAAAAUUAACUAAUGUUACCAAAGAUAUGCCAUUAGUACUGAGAAAACAUGAAUGAUUUCUGACUUUCUGAAGGUAGAGGAGACAACCAGUAUAAUAUCUAGAUCAGUAAGAUGAGACACAAAGUUUGCAUAAUUACAAGUCACCUCUAUGCAUGUAACCAUUUCUUUCCCUUUUUUGUUUGAUUCAAAUUGGCUGUUUAUUAACUCUUCCAUAAAGUUGGUGAAUCAAUUCUAACUGCGUAAGUUUUAGUUACUAAUUUAAGAAAGGUUUCUUGGUUAUAAUAUCUUAUAAUAUCUUAUUUUCAGGUUAUAUAACAAUUUUAAAUGAUCAUUUAGAGAACACCCUCAACAUUCAAAAUUCUCAAAAAAAUGAUAACACUAAUUUAUUUUAUGAAUCAAUUCAGUUUAUUCCAAAAACUGCAUAUACCAAUUCCUACUCUGUGUAAAACACUGAUGUAUAUUAGCUGAGAAUAUCCUUUUCGAAAACUAGGCAUAAGUUUCAAUUCUAUUUACAUCAAGGUGAAGUGACUUUCCCAUCCAUACAAAAAGCCCAAAGUCAAAUACUACGUCUUCUUUGGUAUUUUCUCAGUGUUCCAGUUAGAGCUGAUCAUUUCUUUCUCUACGAUUCUAACAUAUUUAAUCGUAUAUCCUAAAUUUAACAAAAUUAUCAUGAGGCCUGACUUCACCUAAUAUUGCAUCACAAAAUAACUUCAUGUGGCUGUACUUCCAGUAAUUUCCAAAUGGCACCUAUCACAUCAACCAUAGGCAUAUAACAGUUCUAAGUUCUGAAAAUAAAUGAAAAAAUAAUCAAACGAAUAAAUAACCAACUACCUGAAGUCAAUGGAGAAUAACCGAGAGCAGGCAGCAACUGAAGUGUAGUCUACAUGUGGGAAAACAGAAUAGCAUUAGGUAAUUUUCCUAUUUCCUAUUAUCAUAUAUUUCCUAUAUUGUAUGCAUUUUUACCUGAUAGAAAACCUACAGUCUUACUGAAGUGAAGAAGUAAAACAGAACUCAGAGAAACCACGUCAGCUGGAUAGUGAGAGGAGAAAUUCUAGAAUGGCAAAUGCCAUCCAGGGCUUAUGUUUUGUGUGUAAACUCAACCUAAGUCUCUGGCUGGUUUCAAAACUAUACAUGUGCAAGAGAGAGUGCAAGCAGCCCAGCUAAAGGGGAAACAACUGAAUAGAGAUUUCUCUUGUCACAUAAAUGCAGAAAAAAUCAAUUUGAGAGUUUUAGUUCACCCACCAUAGUAUGUUAAAAUACAUUUUAAAAUACCUUUCAAAUAAAUUUAACAGAAUUCAGAGUCUCUAAAGCGUAUUUUCCACAAUGUAAAAGGUAUAACCUAAAAUUACUAGGCAUAUAAAAAAUUAAGUAAAUGUGAGCCAUAGCGAAAAGGAAAAAAAAAAGCAAGAUAAUAUGACAUUGGUCCUAGCUGAAAAAAGAUUUUAAAGAAUCUAUUGAAACUAUGCUCACAGGCCAAGGAAAUAAUGUUUGUAGUGAAUGCACAAGCAGGAAAUCUCAGCAGAGAACUACAAACUAUAAAAAGGUAGGCAUUUUUAUAGCUUUAAGUGCACUUGUCAUUUUGUCACACAGAAUAUUAAGAUACAUAAUCAAAUGUCAUAAUUCAAAUAAUUUGUAAUUACUUAAGGAGUAAAUAAAAAAUACCACACCUGAAAUUAAAAAGAAAUAAAAUUGCUGGAUGGACUUACCAGUGGAACAUGGACUUAACAGUGGAAGGUAAAUAACAGAGGAAAGAAUCAGUGAACUUGAAUAUAGAGAAAGAAAUUAACCAAUCUGAAGAACAGUACAAAAAAAACUGGAACAAAAUGAACAGAGCCUAAGGAACCCAUUAGAAUAUGUCAAAAGGUCUUAUAUGCAUGUAAUCGGAACUACUAAAUGAGAGGAUAGAGAAAAAAGGCAGCAAAAAAGUAUUUAAAGAAGAAAAGCAAAGAGAAAACAUUCCCAAAUGAAUUGAGAGACAAGUUUAUAGAUUCAGAAUCCCAGAUAAUCCGCCUUAGGACAAAUACAGCAGUGUGACUACUAUGCGCCACAUCUAGGUUCAUCAUGGUGAAAUGUUAAAGAUCAAAAGUAAAGACAAAGUCUUCAAAGCAGCCAGAGGAAAAUGACAUAAGCAACACAGACUAACGAUGAUAAGCAUAACAACUGAAUUCUCUCUAGAAAAUAUGGAGGGCAGAAGGGAUCUUUAAAGAACUACAAAUAACAAUAAUAAUAACAAAUUUAAAUUUCUUUUUGAAUCUGUCAGCCCAGAAUUCUAUACCAAGUCAAACUAUCAUUUAAGAAUGAAGGCAAAGUACAUUUUCAAGUCAAAGAAAAUCAAGAGUAUUUGUAACAGCCAAGCUCCACCAUAAGUAAUACGAAAGGAAGAUGUUCAGACUGAAGGGAAAUGAUACUGGAUGGAAAUCCAGAUCAUCUAGAAAAAGGAACGAGCAUCAAAAAAGGUAAGUAUGUGAAUAAAUUUAGGAGAAUGUUUUUCUCCUUAAAAUCUUGAAAAUAUACACAACUCUUUGAAGAAAAACUGUUAUAUUGUCUUGUGGGAACAUAUGAUAUAUGGCAAUAACAGCACAAAGGAUAAGGGAGGAGUAAAACAUAAAAAGUUAAAGAAAACUUGUAAUCCAUAUACAUAUAUGUGUAUGUACGUAUACAUGUAUAUAUAUGUGUGUGUAUAUAAGGUGUAUGUAUAUGUAUGUGUAUAUUAUGUGUGUGUGUGUACAUAGAGUCAGAGAGUAACAAAGACAGAGACAAGACAGAGAGAAAGAGUGUUAUAAGUUAAAUUACAAAUAGGUUAGCUGAAAUGAAAUACCAAAAAUGCAUUUAGUUAUUAAGUUGAGGAAAAACAGAAAACAAAUUCUCAACUGGGAGAAAUAAAUCCAACCAGAUCAAUGAGAUUAUAUUCAAUGUUAAUGACCUAUAAAUAUUUAACAAUUAUAUCUGCCAAAUACCCAAGUUGGAAUAAUCAUAUUGUGACUUUCAGUAAAUACAGUAUUCAGUGAAAAAAACUGGAUAGUUCAGCUUGCAACUCAAUUUCCCAAGUAUUCUAUGUCAAGAAAAUCAGGGUAAUUUUAUAUGCUUCAAGUGCACUUGUAUUUUGUCACACAGAAUAUAAAGAUAUAUAAUCAAAUGUCAUAAUUUAAUAAAAUUAACAUUUACUGCUUAAAAAAGAUUAUUUUUAAUCGGAGCUAGCUUUCUUGUUGUAACUGUAUGUAUGGCAGUGAAAAGUACCCUGACUAUCGGAGCAGUUUGAAGUAACUACCUAGGCGCAUGAUAAAAUGCCAGCAGAUUUAUGCACCAUUGGCUCUGCACUGUUUCAAAUGUCCACAAGUGAAAAAGUCAAACAAUAAAAUAAUUAUUUUGAAAAUAAUUUUGUCUUGCAGAUCUCUGAAAGGGCCUCAAGGGCUCCUUAGAGUCCACAGUUUACAUUUUAAGGACAUGUAUAUAAUAGGAUUGGAAACAAGCAAGUGAUUAAUUAUGUAUUCCAAAUUAUUGUGCAUUCAAGAAAAUGUAACAUUCACAUGUGUGUACUGUAUGUUUGGUGAUAUUUUGAAGGAGUGAUUUAAAAGCCAGUAUCCAUAACUGAGAGAGUAAUACAGACUUUCACAUUUGCAAAUGUAGAGGGAAAAAGUCAGUUUUUAGUCAAAGCAGUUUAGUUAUCAUCAUUAA
rnacentral:lncRNA from 1 species